AGUGAACGCUGGCGGUAGGCCUAACACAUGCAAGUCGAACGGCAGCACAGUAAGAGCUUGCUCUUACGGGUGGCGAGUGGCGGACGGGUGAGGAAUACAUCGGAAUCUACUUUUUCGUGGGGGAUAACGUAGGGAAACUUACGCUAAUACCGCAUACGACCUACGGGUGAAAGCAGGGGAUCUUCGGACCUUGCGCGAUUGAAUGAGCCGAUGUCGGAUUAGCUAGUUGGCGGGGUAAAGGCCCACCAAGGCGACGAUCCGUAGCUGGUCUGAGAGGAUGAUCAGCCACACUGGAACUGAGACACGGUCCAGACUCCUACGGGAGGCAGCAGUGGGGAAUAUUGGACAAUGGGCGCAAGCCUGAUCCAGCCAUACCGCGUGGGUGAAGAAGGCCUUCGGGUUGUAAAGCCCUUUUGUCGGGAAAGAAAAGCAGCAGGUUAAUACCCCGCUGCUCUGACGGUACCCAAAGAAUAAGCACCGGCUAACUUCGU
rnacentral:rRNA from 1 species